UAUUGUAGUCCCGAGCACAGAUAAACGAGUCCGCUUUUUUCCUUUCCUUCCCGCGUCUUCUAGAAGAAUUCUUUUGCGCUUCUGGAGGUAGAACAGAAUUCUCCGUGCGCUGGCGAGGGACGGGGGGUUUGCCUCCCACUCCCCCUGGACCGAGUGGACACAGACCCCUCUAGGCUCACUAGGAGUGCCCAGAAGAUGCAGUUACCCAGAGAUGCAACAAGAAAGCCUACUUCAGCUGUAGAGAUGAGGAGCCAACUGGAGGGGUGAGGAAACAGAGGUUAAAGGACUUCCUAGUAUUACACACUAAUGAGGAUCGGUGACAGGAUUUGAAGCCAGAUCUCCUGACG